GGCUCUAUGGUCUAGUCGUAUGAUUCUCGCUUUGGGUUAACUAAAAUUGCGAGAGGUCCCGGGUUCAAUUCCCGGUGGAGCCC
rnacentral:tRNA from 1 species